UACGUAGGUCGCAAGCGUUGUCCGGAUUUAUUGGGCGUAAAGCGAGCGCAGGGGGUUUGUUAAGUCUGAUGUAAAAGGCAGUGGCUCAACCAUUGUGUGCAUUGGAAACUGGGAGACUUGAGUGCAGGAGAGGAGAGUGGAAUUCCAUGUGUAGCGGUGAAAUGCGUAGAUAUACGGAGGAACACCAGUGGCGAAGGCGGCUUUCUGGCCAGCAACUGACACUGAGGCGCGAAAGCGUGGGGAGCAAACAGG
rnacentral:rRNA from 1 species